rnacentral:rRNA from 1 species
UACGUAGGGGGCAAGCGUUGUCCGGAAUCAUUGGGCGUAAAGAGCGUGUAGGCGGCCAGAUAAGUCCGCUGUGAAAUCUCGAGGCUCAACUUCGAGCUGUCGGUGGAAACUGUCUGGCUCGAGUCCGGGAGGGGCGAGUGGAAUUCCUGGUGUAGCGGUGAAAUGCGCAGAUAUCAGGAGGAACACCAAUGGCGAAGGCAGCUCGCUGGAACGGUACUGACGCUGAGGCGCGAAAGCGUGGGGAGCGAACAGG